rnacentral:rRNA from 1 species
AACGAACGCUGGCGGCAUGCCUAACACAUGCAAGUCGAACGAGACCUUCGGGUCUAGUGGCGCACGGGUGCGUAACGCGUGGGAAUCUGCCCUUGGGUUCGGAAUAACAGUUGGAAACGACUGCUAAUACCGGAUGAUGACGUAAGUCCAAAGAUUUAUCGCCCAAGGAUGAGCCCGCGUAGGAUUAGCUAGUUGGUGAGGUAAAGGCUCACCAAGGCGACGAUCCUUAGCUGGUCUGAUAGGAUGAUCAGCCACACUGGGACUAAGACACGGCCCAGACUACUACGGGAGGCAGCAGUGGGGAAUAUUGGACAAUGGGCGAAAGCCUGAUCCAGCAAUGCCGCGUGAGUGAUGAAGGCCUUAGGGUUGUAAAGCUCUUUUACCCGGGAUGAUAAUGACAGUACCGGGAGAAUAAGCUCCGGCUAACUCCGUG